AGUGAACGCUGGCGGCAGGCCUAACACAUGCAAGUCGAGCGGCAGCGGGUCCCCGCGAGGGGAUGCCGGCGAGCGGCGGACGGGUGAGGAACACAUCGGAAUCUGCCUGGUUGUGGGGGAUAACGUAGGGAAACUUACGCUAAUACCGCAUGAGACCCUGAGUCGACGGACUGGGGGUGAAAGUGAGGGACCUUCGGGCCUCACGCGACCAGAUGAGCCGAUGUCGGAUUAGCUAGUUGGCGGGGUAACGGCCCGCCAAGGCGACGAUCCGUAGCUGGUCUGAGAGGAUGAUCAGCCACACUGGGACUGAGA
rnacentral:rRNA from 1 species